rnacentral:rRNA from 1 species
AUUGAACGCUGGCGGCAUGCCUUACACAUGCAAGUCGAACGGCAGCACGGGUGCUUGCACCUGGUGGCGAGUGGCGAACGGGUGAGUAAUACAUCGGAACAUGUCCUGUAGUGGGGGAUAGCCCGGCGAAAGCCGGAUUAAUACCGCAUACGAUCUACGGAUGAAAGCGGGGGACCUUCGGGCCUCGCGCUAUAGGGUUGGCCGAAGGCUGAUUAGCUAGUUGGUGGGGUAAAGGCCUACCAAGGCGACGAUCAGUAGCUGGUCUGAGAGGACGACCAGCCCACAUGGGACCUGGACCAGGCCCCAACUCCCAAGGGAGGCAGGCGUUGGGAAUUUUUGGACAAGGGGCGAAACCCGAUUCCGCAAAGGCGGGUGGUGGAAAGAGGGCCUCCGGUUUGAAAACCACUUUGGUCCGGAAGAAAAUCCUUGGCCUUAAUCCGUCCGGGGAUGACGGUACCGGAAGAAUAAGCACCGGCUAACUACGUG